rnacentral:lncRNA from 1 species
UGCUGAUGGGUCAGACUUGAUUCAAAAUUUUGAACCAGUCCUUCUCGUGGGUCUUGUUCCAUGUCAAGACUCCCUACUGCUGUAGAGGUAAGACUUGGGUCAAAAUUUAGACCUGAACGUUUGCAUGGGUCUGCUUCCAUACUGGAGUGAUUGAAAUGUAGACCCGAACCUUCUCGUGAGUCUAUUUACAGAUUGCAGUGAUUGGCAAACCACAGAUUGUAGUCU